GAACCAAAACCUGCCGGAUACCGGUCCUCCAGAACCAGGAUGGAGAACCCACUGUUCAGUUUCUACUGAGUCGAGGUUCUAGUUUUAUUUUGACCCAGACCGUAGAGGUUCUGAAGUGGUUUCAUCACCAGAACUACAGAUGUGGGUCCUGCGGGGCUGACUGCUGGUCCCGGUUCUGUACUUGCAGCCUCACGUCGGAUUAAGUUAUCUGCUGCUGAUUAUUUUAUUCUCGGGUUUGGGUUCAGGUUCUGACGUGGACCUGGCCCGUAACGUUUCCUGUUCUAGUUUUAGAGUUCAGGUUUACCCCACCGGUUCCGUCCAGCUGAACGGUCUGGACUGUCUCACCUACGAGGUUGUGAUGAGAACCUCCCCAGUGGUUCGGUCCAGAACAGCUCUGACCCGGAGGGGGCUGCUGCUGCUGCGCUUCUCUCAGCCUCUCGGAACCAGCCCGGUCUCAUCAUGCCCUCAUCAGAGCAGCUGUGAGACUCCUGGACCAGAACCUGCCGUGACCAUCAGACAAGGACCUCAGGAUGAUGUCCUCCUACCACCCUAAGGAAGCCGACAUGUCGGCUACGACCGAACCGCUCUGCCUGGAAAGAGAUGUGUGCCGGGUGAUCGAGCUGCUGGACCGGCUGCAGCGGACCGGGGAGCUGCCCCCUCCCAAGCUGCAAGCCCUGCAGAGAGUCCUCCAGAGCAAAUUCUGCGCCGCCAUCAGGGAGGUGUACGAGCAGCUGUACGACACUCUAGACAUAGUUGGAGGACCAGAGGUGCGAGCACAAGCAACAGCCAAGGCCACCGUGGCAGCCUUUGCAGCCAGCGAGGGUCACGCCCACCCCAGGGUGGUGGAGCUCCCCAAGACUGAAGAGGGGCUGGGCUUUAACAUCAUGGGGGGGAAAGAGCAGAACUCCCCGAUCUACAUCUCCAGAGUUAUUCCUGGAGGAGUAGCCGAUCGCCAAGGAGGGCUGAAGAGAGGAGACCAGCUGCUGUCUGUCAACGGAGUGAGCGUUGAGGCGGAGCAACACGAGAAGGCUGUGGAGCUGCUGAAAGCCGCACAGGGUUCGGUCAAGUUGGUGGUCCGCUACACUCCCAAGGUUCUGGAGGAGAUGGAGGCUCGCUUUGAGAAGAUGAGGAGCGCCCGGAGACGCCAGCAGCACAGCAGCUACUCGUGAGACCGCUUGUCAGUUUGGGCUCAGACACACCUGUGAAAGUGUCCCCGUGAUCUCCGUAAUACUCUGGUGUAGUAUCUAGGACACAGUGCUGGUAAACGUUACAACUGUCAUCGUAGUUUCUCAUCAAAACAAAUAAAAAAAAUAACACAAUCAAGUAGCUGGGAUGAGAAUCAGCCCCGCUGAAUCUGAGACCUAAAAUCUGAGGUCUUGAGUCGGAAAAGGGUAGAAAGCCUUCUCCGGGUCAGAGAUGAGGUCCUGCCCCAAGUGGAGGAGUUUAAGUAUCUCGGGGUCUUGUUCACGAGUGAGGGAAAACUGGAGCGUGAGAUCGAUAGGCGGAUUGGUGCUGCAUCUGCAGUGAUGCGGGCGUUGUACCGGUCUGUUGUGGUGAAGAGAGAGCUGAGUCAGAAGGCGAAGCUCUCGAUUUACCAUUUGAUCUACGUUCCUACCCUCGCCUAUGGUCAUGAGCUUUGGGUAGUGACCGAAAGAACGAGAUAACAGAUACAAGCGGCCGAAAUGAGUUUUCUCCAAAGGGUGGCUGGGCUCUCCCUUAGAGAUAGGGUGAGAAGCUCGGUUAUCCGGGAGGGGCUCGGAGUAGACCCGCUGCUCCUCCACAUCGAGAGAAGGAUGCCUCCUAGACGCCUGCCUCCCUGGUGAGGUUUUCUGGGCACGUCCAACCAGUAGAAGACCUAAAGGAAGACCCAGGACACGCUGGAGGGACUACGUCUCUGCUGGCCUGGGAACGCCUUGGGUCCCCCUGGAGGAGCUGGCUCAAGUAGCUGGGGAAAGGGAAGUCUCGGCCUCCCAGCUUAGGCUGCUGCCCCCAAAUAAGUGGAUGCAUGGACGGAGUUUUGGUUAGAUUUUGUACAUCCUGAUGUUGUGUGUCAUGUGUUUGUCUUGUUUCUGACCCAGCAAGGACUGGAAGACUUUUGUAACGGACUUACACAUAUAAAAGCAUUCAACUGAUGAAGGGUGGUGUUCUGAUUUUCUGAGAAAGCACAAAGGUGUUGUCUCAUGUGUUCACACCUGGGUGACAUCAGAUCAUAUUGUAAACGCGGAUCACAGGAUCCACGUUUAGAAGUCACACUUUGGGUUGAAUCCUUGUCCCUUGUCUGUCCCUACACCUUGCGGGGGUCUCCUGUUUGGUUCUGUGGAGUUUUCCAGGUGUCCUGUCUGACUCAAAUCUAGGGUUUCCUUAUUUUUCCGUCCGUGUCCAUAAACCUGAAGCUUCCAACCCAGAACCAAAGAAGCUUUUGGAUGAGAGGGCUGUGUGUAAGCGUCAGGCCCCCACAAUCCUGGGAUGAACAUGAAGCCAACAGGAAGGUGGCUAAAAGUGCAGUACCACCCCCAUCCACUAGGGGCUGGUGUCAGAAGCAAGCAAAUCCUCAUUGACUCCCAUGUUAAAAAUACCAAUUUCACAGCAGAAAUAAACAUGUUUUAGGUUUAAUAGAUCUAGUUUACACUCAUGACAACUCUGAGGGGGGUGGAUGUUUUGUAACUCUUCCGUUUAAGUUAAAUUUCAGAAUAAUUAAUGAGCAUCAGAGCCACGAGACUCCAGAGCUAGCUCUGAGAAAGACCUCAGCCUCACGUUAAUAGAUGUUCGGCCGUUUCGGCCCUCUGAACUUUAGUUUUGUCUGUGUGUUCGUGUUUGGAUGUUAAUCAUGGAAAUAUUUGGACAAAGGGGCAGGCUGUGGUGAUUGACUGCACUAACAGCUCAGCCAAGCAGUUUCUGCUCCUUUUUCUCAGUAAGUAAAAUGACAUUUCUGUACUUUCUUGUGCUGGUUGAAUGGAGGAAUGUGGUGUCAUUUAACUGCUUGCUCACACAUGUUAGUGGGGCUGCUGGUGCUGGCUGGAUAAGAAACCUGAGCCCAGCUUCUUGUGUCUCCUGCCAGAGAAGAGAUGCUAGAGCUGUUCCCGUUUCCCGGGGCCGCCAGAUGCGCGGACCGGCUCCGACGCGAGGCUGUAGUCAUGCUGGUCACUUGUGGAUCUCUGAGGGAGACAACGGAAACACCGCAGCUCAACUGCACUUUUCUCGCUAACAGUUUUCUGGUUGAAUGAAGGGAAAUUCUGUGUUCACCAUAACCCGCUUGGUCUGAGAUGGGCUGAAAUAUAACGUGUUGUUGUGGCUGCUGUAGGGUUUUGUGGGUAACAAAACUAGAGCUACAUAUCUGACCGAGGGUAGCGGAGGCUAUCGGGCUUUGCUGUUAAAGGUCAAAGGUCCACCACUGUCAACUUGGCUCUCGGGUCCAUGUCAAAACAGCGGACUCGUGGAUCUUUCACCGUGGUGGACCAGCAAAGCCUGACAUCCUCAGUCAGCUCACCUAGGUAUGAUUUUGUUACUAAGCAGGCCGGAGGUGCCUUCACCUUGGACUUGCUCUACCGCGUUUUCUUGCUAAAACCCAGAAAAACUCUGUUAGCUUUGGGAUAGCACGUAGCUCACAUCCCGCUGAUCUCUGACUGUGGAGCAGGAGCUGAUGGAAAAGGCUACGGCGCCCGGCUGCGAUUGCAGCGGUCUUAGGCUCUGAUUGUAAUUUAACAGUCCCGGUCCAUAUCAGAUCCCCACAGGCGACCAGCAUGACCACAGCCUCGCACGGAAACCAGUCUGCAGUCCGACUGGUCUACCCUGGUCCUUGGAGCCCUUCUUGGGUUAGCUAGUAGCUACAUCGGUUCAUUUGUUCCAACUCUCUUCCAACCAUAACAGCUUUGCCCUCAGCUCCACCUCUUUUGCCAUUUUUGGAUUGUCUGGGUGUGGCAAGACGUGUGACACAUUCAAAAUGGCGGUGGUGGGAACCUCCCAUUUGGAAACAAAACCUUAUAUUUCAUGCCUAUGGAAAAGAAACAUCCAGCAUAUAUGUGGAUGAUCUCUGGAGUCCAGGAGCUAACUAGUCCUCUACCUCUACCACCUCGUUGUCCAGCCCUCCUGGCUCUUCUGUCCUCAUGGGACCGAAGAGCACUGAUGGAGUCUCCUCUCCACUCAUCAGACCAUCACCUCCCUGUGUGUGUGUGUGUGUGUGAGUGUGUGUGUGUGUGUCCCACUGCCUCUUCCUUAUGUCGGCCUGAAAUUCUGCUAAUAUAACAAAGAGCCACAUCAAGGAGAGACUUGUUAACAAGUGGACCUGUAAGCUACCUGAUCUGAUCCAAGUCAGAUGAUUCUUUAAGUCUUCAACUGAUUUCUUGACACUUAAUCUUUGUGGAAAAAGUGUUUGAACCAUGGAGUCCCAGUGUGCAUUAAUGCUUCCAGUAAAGUUCCUACUUAUUAAAAA